GAUAGUCUGAGACCUGAUGCCGAGCCGAUUGUGGUGAAGUGGAUGAUCCUAUGCUGUCGAGAAAAGCCUCUAGCGAGUUUCAUGGCGGCCCGUACCCUAAACCGACUCAGGUGGUCAGGUAGAGAAUACCGAGGCGUUCGGGUGAACUAUGGUUAAGGAACUCGGCAAAAUGCCCCCGUAACUUCGGGAGAAGGGGGGCCAUCACCGGUGAUCGGAUUUACUCCGUGAGCUAGGGGUGGCCGCAGAGACCAGCGAGAAGCGACUGUUUACUAAAAACACAGGUCCGUGCGAAGCCGUAAGGCGAUGUAUACGGACUGACGCCUGCCCGGUGCUGGAACGUUAAGGGGACCGGUUAGUCAUUCUUCGGGGUGGCGAAGCUGAGAACUUAAGCGCCAGUAAACGGCGGUGGUAACUAUAACCAUCCUAAGGUAGCGAAAUUCCUUGUCGGGUAAGUUCCGACCUGCACGAAUGGCGUAACGACUUCUCGACUGUCUCAACCAUAGGCCCGGUGAAAUUGCACUACGAGUAAAGAUGCUCGUUUCGCGCAGCAGGACGGAAAGACCCCGGGACCUUUACUACAGUUUGAUAUUGGUGUUCGGUUCGGCUUGUGUAGGAUAGCUGGGAGACUGUGAACUCUGGACGCCAGUUCAGGGGGAGUCGUCGUUGAAAUACCAGUCUGGUCGUGCUGGAUGUCUAACCUGGGUCCGUGAUCCGGAUCAGGGACAGUGUCUGAUGGGUAGUUUAACUGGGGCGGUUGCCUCCUAAAGAGUAACGGAGGCGCCCAAAGGUUCCCUCAGCCUGGUUGGCAAUCAGGUGUUGAGUGUAAGUGCACAAGGGAGCUUGACUGUGAGACCGACGGUCGAGCAGGGACGAAAGUCGGGACUAGUGAUCCGGCGGUGGCUUGUGGAAGCGCCGUCGCUCAACGGAUAAAAGGUACCCCGGGGAUAACAGGCUGAUCUUCCCCAAGAGUCCAUAUCGACGGGAUGGUUUGGCACCUCGAUGUCGGCUCGUCGCAUCCUGGGGCUGGAGUCGGUCCCAAGGGUUGGGCUGUUCGCCCAUUAAAGCGGUACGCGAGCUGGGUUUAGAACGUCGUGAGACAGUUCGGUCCCUAUCCGCUGCGCGCGCAGGAACAUUGAGAAGGGCUGUCCCUAGUACGAGAGGACCGGGACGGACGAACCUCUGGUGUGCCAGUUGUUCUGCCAAGGGCAUGGCUGGUUGGCUACGUUCGGGAGGGAUAACCGCUGAAAGCAUCUAAGCGGGAAGCCUGCUUCGAGAUGAGUGUUCCCACCCCCUUUGAGGGGUUAAGGCUCCCAGUAGACGACUGGGUUGAUAGGCCGGAUCUGGAAGGCGGGUAACCGCUGGAGGUGACCGGUACUAAUAGGCCGAGGGCUUGUCCCA
rnacentral:rRNA from 1 species